UUUGAAAGGGAAACGAUUGAAGUCAGUCAUACCAACGGGAAAUCAACCUUUUGAGCUUGGUCUCGUGGGUUUUGAAGAGUUUCAAAGCCUUCGGAUUCGCGAGAUUGGGAUCUCUCGGUGUACUUUCUCGUACGGUUGGUCAACAUCGGUUUUGAAUGUCAUAAAAUGACUGGAGGAAUGUAGCUUCGAUCUCGUAUUGAAGUGUUAUAGCCUGUGGUAGAUGUGAUGUUCGAGACCGAGGAUUGCAACGGAUACCCUUCAGGGCUAUUCGUCUGAUCUCUGAUACGUUGCCCUGAUGUUGAAAGCUUGCUUAUGAUGUUAGGGUAUACGUCAAAAGUG
rnacentral:rRNA from 1 species